GAUGAAGAACGUAGCGAAAUGCGAUAAGUAAUGUGAAUUGCAGAAUUCAGUGAAUCAUCGAAUCUUUGAACGCACAUUGCGCCCCCCAGUAUUCUGGCGGGCAUGCCUGUUCGAGCGUCAUUUCAACCAUCAAGCCCUGCUUGUGUUGGGGUCCUGCGGCUGCCCGCAGGCCCUGAAAACCAGUGGCGGGCUCGCUAGUCACACCGAGCGCAGUAGCACAUCUCGCUCAGGGCGUGCGGCGGGCUCCAGCCGUUAAAGCACCCACCUUUCGCAAGGUUGACCUCGGAUCAGGUAGGAAUACCCGCUGAACUUAAGCAUAUCAAUAAGCGGGGA
rnacentral:misc_RNA from 1 species